rnacentral:lncRNA from 1 species
CCCCUUUCAGGACAUCAGUGUCUUUGGUUUUGUUGUCCUUGGUUUUACUGUCUUCCUCCCCUCCCCCUCCACCUAAUUCAGUCCAUUCACCAUGGAUCCCCUGAAUCUAGUUACCCCUAUUGAUAAGGCCAAGCACAAUGUGAAAUCUGGUCACUUAUGAAGCCAUUUCUAUUCUGGACUUUACGCUCCUGCUAUACAGAAUUAGUUGAUUCAGUUCCUUCAAGCUGUCAUGCUGCUUUCUGCCUCAUAUACUUUGCACAAAUCUUGUCCUUUGCCUGAUAGGUCCUCCUUCUGCUCAAAAACACCAUCUCCUCCACAUUCAUCAGUGAGGUCCUCUUCAGUCUUAACAGGCCAGUUCAAGGGUUGGUCACUCUGCCUUUCAUCCUCACAGUGACAUCUCUGGGACAAGGUCAUUAUUUAAUCAUCUUUAUUAUCCUUGGUGGUUAGCAUCUAAUACCCGUCUGACAAACACAUGUUGAGACAUGAGCGGACAAAUGACACAAGAGAACAUGAGAGUUUAUAUAGACAGAAGAAAAGCUACACAAUGAGCCUGUGGGAGGUGGAAGGCCCCUCAGCUAAUUUUCCAGUCAGAGAAAUGCACUUAAUUUUAAAGCCAACAAAAGCAUGUAACAAGGAAGACCUACGUGGCUGCCACAAAGAAAUGAAAUGAUGAAUGGGACCAUCAAUAAUUCACAUGUUCCGUGUAGAUGUAACAGAUUGCCUGAUUGUACAAAAUGACUUCUAUCUUGGUGAAGAACCAACACAUUAUUCCUCAUGGGUCUCUUUGACUCCCUACCUUUGUCUUUAAUGUAUAAAGUACGUCUUGUUUCUGACAAAUGCAGUGCUGUUUGCUGGUCUUAAUAAAGGUCAGACGGAUGGACA